ACAAAACUGAGAACUUUCUCACAUUGUAAUGUAUACAUAUUUUUUUUACAUAGGAAUUUCCUCUAAAACAGGCUAUUGCAUUGCUGGUUGCAAAUUUUGAGUUUUCUCAAAAAUUUCUCUGAGGUAGUUUUGUGAUUUUUCAUUUUUUUUCUUACUCUUGUAAGGCAGUAACAUCCAUGUUUGCUAAUGAAAUAUCUCAAAUAUUUUGGGUGUGCAAAGAUAGAGCAGGAAAUGAGCGAAAAUAGCUAUGAGAAAGUUUUAUCUGGUGGCUUCAAACAAUUCACUUAUUCGUAAUUUGAAUACUGCAUCUGCAGUACAAGAUGGCAAGGAAGGGCAAUAGCAGAGCUUGUAAAAGUUACUUUUUGGGCUAUGACUUUCAGAACCCCACAUUGACCUGGAGUUGGGGGACUGCAAGCACUGCGUUAGGGAAAAAGUUAUUUUUCAAGUUCUGGAUUGACCUUUCCGUGUAGGGGCAAAAUGAAUAAGACUUGUGAGAGACUGGUGUGUAUGUGUUCGAAUAGCAUUCACAUCUCCUUUAUAAAUGUGUGGUUCAUAUAAAACUUGACCCUGUGCUGAUUUAAGUGGAGAACAGUGUAUUAUGUUACAGGACACUUGGCUCUGAAAAGAGCAGCAGCUUUGAAUCUUUUGGCAGCAGUGCCUGCGAAGACAUCACUCUUUUCAUUUCCUCUGUAGAUGAAGGAUGAGCCGUGUGACUGAUCCCCUAAAUGGAGCACAUAUUUAAAUGGGUCUCCAGAUAGUGGCUGGCAUGCCCUCUCUCCUUGCUUCAGCUACAAUAUUACAGGGACAUUGUUCUCCUGCCAUGAAUGGGUUUGAACUCCAGGUCAAAUGGUGUGUCAGUUUCAUAAUAAGGAAAGCAUUCCAAACACUCUCUAGUACAGAAUCUACACACGUGGAAGCAGAAAAACUGAGAGGGUAAAAAAGGCUUUUCUUCAUUUUGUCUGCAAGGGCUGUGUAAACACAAACAAAACAUUCUUUCAGUAGAGAACAUGGAGAACUGGCAAGGAAACAAGAGCGUAAUGGAGAAGACUGGUGGGCCACCCAGCCGCCUAAUUAUUGGCAGCAUCUCUACAUUUUUACAGCAUGCCUCUCCUAACACAGCUUUGUGCAAAACAAAAUGCAAUAUUGUCCCAGAGGUUCAAAUAGACUGUUAUUGUGUAUACUGUAGACUGACGGUGCUUUUCUUUCCGUUGCAUCAACCUACUGUGGAAUUUUGAAGAGGCACAUUAAAUCCAAUACUGCAACCUGCUGCUAUCUCAUCUUGCAACAUAUUAAAAUUUAAUUGAUUGAGAUGAAA